rnacentral:lncRNA from 1 species
CUUUCCAUUAUUUAACCUAUUUCUUUAAUUGUGUCUUAUAUUACAGCUGAUGGAAAAGUAUACAAGAGUAGAUUGUUAAAAGCUGUGAAGGCCCUCAAAGGACCAAGGGUCAAAAUCAAAAAAAUUGAAUCCUUUGCGAAAAUAAUGGGAAUUACUACACUCAAGGAUGAGGAACUUGAGGAACUAAUGACCCAACUGUCAGCGGAUGGUGAUAGUACUGUUGGUCUGAAUGAUUUAAUGGGUGCUAUCGGUUACACCAAGGGUAAGUUGCAAGCUGUGAUGAAAAGAUAUUAUAAAUAGCAUCUUAAUAUUUUGCAAUUGGUAGAAAGCAAAUAUCCCCUUCACAAAUGUUUAAAUUCUUUCACAUAUGUUCCAUUUUUGGAGUUCUGUCAUGGCGCAGCAGUUAAUGAAUCCGACUAGGAACCAUGAGGUUGUGGGUUUCAAUUCCUGGCCUUGCUCAGUGGGUUAAGGAUCUGACAUUGCCGUGAGCUGUGGUGUAGGUCACAGAUGCGGCUCGGAUCCCGUGUUGCUGUGGCUCUGGUGUAGGUCUGUGGCUACAGCUCUGAUUAGACCCCUAGCCUGGGAACCUCCAUAUGCCAUGGGAGCGGCCCUAGAAAAGGCAAAAAGACAAAAUAUAUAUAUAUAUAUGUUCCAUUUUUGAGGAUGUUGCUGAAACAGGAUAAACAAUAAUCUGUGUUUAUGUAUCAAUACCCAUAAUAUUCUCUGAAAUUUUCCCUGAAAGAAGUCUUCAAUAUAGUAACAGAUCUCAAGAGCCAGAGACUGGAGUUCUCUGGAGGCCUAGCAGUUAAGGACUGGACACUGAACUGCUGUGGCUUGGGUUACUGCUGUGGCUCUGUUUGAUCCCUGACCCAGGAACUGGUGCAGCCAAAAAAAAAAAAGAGCUAUUCCUUUUCUCCACUAACCCCAAUCCUAGAAACUUAUCCUCUGGAAAUAGUUUAACUGAAUAAAAGAAAAAAAAAUCUCUGCA